rnacentral:lncRNA from 1 species
GGCGCACCGGGAGACGCGGCGCGCGAGGUCCUGCUGGCGCGGGUUCUGAAGGAGGGAAAGAGUGCUCGGCUUUCACCGGGGUCUCCGGGAGGGCAAGUGUUCUCUGAGUGGUCGAGGAGGCGCCGAGUGGUUGAGUGAACUGUGCAGGGCGUCACAGAUCGACCCACUCCGGGCCACGGGGUCUGGGGCUCCCGGCUUUGCCUGGUGGCAGAUGACCGUCUCCCUGAUGGACGGGCGCUGCUGGACGCGGGGACCUUGUCCACUGUAGGCCCUUGGAGAGGUCGGGCGUCGAGGAGAGGAGCCCGGGGAUCCUUGCCGAGGGAGCAGAAGGAGAGUUGGGUGCGGGAUAGAGGUGAGAAGAGUGCUUGGACACACAGGCUGUGGGGUUCCCCAAGAUGGUCUCACGGGUCUCUGGGAUGAGAUGCGGCUACCAAGAUCCUAGGUGCAGCCAGGAGGCUGACCAGGCCGCUUUAAUGCUCGAAGAGACAUGGCCCUGCCAGCAUCCACCCGACAGUCCUGAGGACUACAUGACUAGGCUCAGUCUUGACCUGGCACACAGCAGUGGCUGUGCAGUUCUAGGUCACUUGACAGCCACUCCAGCCAGGUGUGGUGGCUCAUGCCUGUAAUCCCAGCACCUUGGGAGACCGAGGCGGGAGGAUCACCUGAGGUCAGGAGUUCGAGACCAGCCUGAUCAACAUGGAGAAACCCCGUCUAUACUAAAAAUACAAAAGUUAGCUGGGCAUGGUGGCAGGCACCUGUAAUCCCAGCUACUCAGGAGACUGAGGCAGGAGAAUCACUUCAACCCAGGAGGUGGAGGUUGUGGUGAGCCGAGAUUGUGCCAUUGCACUCCAGCUUGGGAAACAAGAGCAAAACUCCGCCUCAAAAAAAAAAACAUUUUCCUUUUGAAAUUGUUCUUCAAAUGUUUCUUGUCACAUACAUGCAGGACUAAUUAGGUAUAAACAUGAGAAAUUG